rnacentral:lncRNA from 1 species
CCAGAACGCGGUUUUAAAGCCCAUGUUAGAUUUAGGUUCCCACCUAAGUCUUCUUAUUGUUUCCUCUCAUGUCUUUUUGUUUGUUUUGAGUUUCUUUUUUCUCUUAUUUUUCUUUUUUGUUUUGAGUCUGUUGGUGGUCCUCUUUGCCCUAACACUUUGCCUAAGGUCAAAAAUAUGUGAGUGGGGAAGGUCGAUUGUUGUAUUUAUGUUUGUAUGUUUUUUUUAUGUUUUUUAUUUUAGUUUUGAUUUGUGUCUGCCUCAUUUCUGACUCACUUUACCCAAGACAAGGUGUGUGAGUGGGGAAGCAUUUCGUGUAGUUUUUGUGAGUUCGUCGGUUUGAGAGCUCAACAUUAAAACACUUUGCCUCGAGCGAAGUGUGUAAGUGUGAUGGCCUGUACGCUUUUUAUUUUUACUUUUGUCAUUUUGGUCUAGCCAGCAUGAGAAAUGAUGAGUUGAUUGAUCAUGAUAGAUGAAUUUGUUGCUA